rnacentral:rRNA from 1 species
GUGCUUAACACAUGCAAGUCGAACGGAGCACCCUUGACUGAGUUUCGGCCAAAUGUAUAGGAAUGCUUUAGUGGCGGGACUGGUGAGUAACGCGUCGAGGAACCUGCCUUCCAGAGGGGGACAACAGUUGGAAACGACUGCUAAUACCGCAUGAUAUAUUUGAGGGGCAUCCCUUUGGAUAUCAAAAGAUUAUAUCGCUGGAAGACUGGCCUCGCGUCUGAUUAGCUAGUAGGCGGGGUAACGGCCCACCCUAGGCGACGAUCAGUAGCCGGACUGAGAGGUUGACCGGCCACAUUGGGACUGAGAUACGGCCCAGACUCCUACGGGAGGGCAGCAGUGGGGAAGUAUUGGGCAAUGGGCGCGAAAGCCUGACCCAGCAACGCCGCGUGAAGGAAGAAGGCUUUUCGGGUUGUAAACUUCUUUUGUCAGGGAACAGUAGAAGAGGGUACCUGACGAAUAAGCCACGGCUAACUACGUGCCAGCAGCCGCGGUAA